rnacentral:rRNA from 1 species
UACGUAGGGUGCGAGCGUUAAUCGGAAUUACUGGGCGUAAAGCGUGCGCAGGCGGUUUUGUAAGUCUGUUGUGAAAUCCCCGGGCUUAACCUGGGAAUGGCAAUGGAGACUGCAAGGCUAGAGUUUGGCAGAGGGGGGUAGAAUUCCACGUGUAGCAGUGAAAUGCGUAGAGAUGUGGAGGAACACCGAUGGCGAAGGCAGCCCCCUGGGUCAAGACUGACGCUCAUGCGCGAAAGCGUGGGGAGCAAACAGG